GUGUCAGCCGCCGCGGUAAAACGUAGGAGCCAAGCGUUAUCCGAAUUCACUGGGCGUAAAGCGCGUGCAGGCGGCCUGAUAAGUUGGAUGUGAAAUCUCCUGGCUCAACUGGGAGAGGCCGUUCAAUACUGUUGGGCUAGAGGGCGACAGAGGGAGGUGGAAUUCCGGGUGUAGUGGUGAAAUGCGUAGAUAUCCGGAGGAACACCAGAGGCGAAGGCGACCUCCUGGGUCGUACCUGACGCUCAGACGCGAAAGCUAGGGGAGCAAACGGGAU
rnacentral:rRNA from 1 species